GAAUGCUUCACUCUGCAAAUAUAUUUUGUCUUAUCCCUACAUGUCGAUAAUAUAUGCUACAUAGCUGAGAGAAUGACAUCAUGCAAAAAGGCGAACACAGGGUACGCUUACCUGCCCCUUCACAUGACACACUGGACCCACGAAAGACCCGAGGGCACCGCCAACCCCUGAUACCAGGCACCAUAUAAUUAGGGGGCCACACGCUACACCACUCUCAAACUAGCAAUGCUUGCAAAAUGCUCCCACCCUAUACCCCCAUCCCACCCAAAACACGUAGCAACCUUUAAGCACCACCGAGACCCCUCGGCAACAUAAGGGUGAAC